GCGAAAUAUCAUUCGGCGAUAGUGGAUAAACUGUAUAUAUAUAUAUAUAUAUUAUAUAUAUGAAGCAGCAAGAUGUACUUUAUCGUUGUAUCCACGGUGAUACAAGUUGAAAGGAAGUUGCCAGUUUUACGGGUGAAACGCGUUUAAGGCUGCAUUGAAUGACAAAUAAAUAUGCUAAUGGCUAUUCGGGGAACUUCAAAUGCCGCGCAUCUUAGCUUUUGCACCGCAUCGAAAGAAGAAAGUUAAGUUAAGUUGGUCGGUACCUCGACGGCGUGUUUGGAAGGAAGUGCCACGAAUGGCCAGGAAGGCGAGGAGGAAGGCGAUCCAGAACGAAGACAGACGAGAUAGAGGGAGGGUGAAUGAAAGAUGGAACGAGACUUCUCUUAAAUAAUAGAAAAUUCAGAGGAAGUUGAUAAGCCAGGGCGCGUUCAAACUUUUCACUCGCCGUCUUCCAUUUCUUAUUAUAAUGAAUGCAUAUCGGCUUAGUCGAAGCUUGAAAGCUACGACUAUAAGAACCCUUUUCCAGUUUUUGCGGCCUCUUCUGCUCUUUCCCUUAUACAGUAAUACCAUUGAUUCAAACACAUCCCAUAAGGGUAAUCCUUGACGAGUUUAAUUCGAAAUGUCAGUGGCAGAUUGCGUUCGUCGAACCACAUGUUGCCAGCCGACAUCCCACGAAAUCGUGCUCACAUCCACGCAUACGAGGAAUAAACCGGCGAAUAUUUUGGCUAUUAUUAUUACCGUAGCCUAGCGUGUCUUUCCGUGCGACGGCUGCACGUCUGUCGCGACCAAAACUAGCGCGCUUCGACAUUUUCAUUCAGGAUCGAUCGUGCGAUUUUCCAUGGACCCCGUCUCUUCGUAAAAAUAUUCGUUUCAACCGGUAUGUGUGAUCCGUAAAUAGAUAUAUAAAGUUGCUCGUUUGAAAUCAAGGAGGAGGGAGGGGGGAGCGUUAAACGUUCGAACUUCGUCUCGAGACGAAUAUUCAUGAAGAUUAGAAACAAAGAGGACGGACUUAUAUAAAUUUCCGAAAAAAAAAAAAAAAAAAAAAAAAAAAAGAAAAGAAAAGAAAAUUUGAAAGAACGACGAGAGAUGAAUUUUUCAGAUGAUGAAAGUCAUGGCAAAAGUUUUCGAGUAAGUAGAGGUAGGGUAAAGCCUCUAACAGGGUUUGUUUUAUUAACAGGGGGUGAGGCGAUACAAUCCGCGGAGACAAAUGGCCUCGGCAACGUUAAAUCAUCGAAGAAAAAGUUAGUAAUUUAAUAAGCAAUUUCAUGGAAAUUCCGUGAUCGUUAGCGUAACGACUUUCUCGAUAAAAUUUUUCCAGGAUAUUCUCGUUUCUCGCUGUUGAUAAAGGAUACGAGAAACGCAUCCUCAAGAUCGUUACGUUUUUUAAUUCGCCUUCUGAAAGCGAUCGAACCGAUUCGUUAUUCUUUUUUUUUUUUACCUCGUUUACGUAUAUAUAUAUAUAUAUAUAUAUAUAUUCCCUACGUCUUCGUGGAUUCGACGAACGUUUCAAAGAUGAUGCAACCCAGAUAAAGUGUUGGCCAACGAGGGAGGGAAAACGUGAGCGAGGAGUUGACAGCGGAUCGUCUCGAGCGAAGGGACACAUCUUUGAGGCGAGAUGCUCGUUGAUCCUUUGUGAUUCCGCUUUUUUAUCCCAUCCAAUCGAUCAUCCAUCGUUGCUCGCCUCUCGUCGGAUAUAUUAUCCAGCCACGUGUCUACGAGAAUUUGCACCGCGUGUAUUCGGUUUUCGUCCUAGACGAGAUCCGAAUACACCGAGAUCCGGGAUAAACUAAAACGUCCAAUUUGCGCGAUAUUAUUAUCUUGGGCGAACGUGACGUAUACGCAAUUCGUAUAAAUUUUUCAUCUUUUCAUUUCUUUUUCUUUUUUUUUUUUCUUUAUCCUUAUCUUCUCAUUCCUCUAUAUUUUCCCAUCCAACAAACUUCAACCUUCGCCCUUCCUUCCAACUAUCGCGUCUUAACAUCCGCAGAACCAUUCCUCCCGUCCCCUCCCCCCGUAAAAAAUUGCCGUGCACGGCACUCCACGAUUUCGAAAAUUUUAUUUAUUCGCGUCACGAAGACACGCGAUGCGGCAGCGCGCUUUCAAAAGCUCAGAAAGCGUUAUAUAGCGGCCGUAGUAAGUAUGUAUUAUACGAGCGUGCAGGUCGUCGGUAUGUGUGUGCGUAUGCGUGUGUGUGUACGCAGCGAGCCGGAGAGAGGAGGAAAAGAGUGGAGCGUAUGGUUGAAUAGGUGGAUACGCGGAGGACAGCGUGCCUCUUUGCGCAACCCCGAAAGCAAUAUAUCGAUGUUUAGCAACCAAUAAACGGAUCCCUCAAAGAGGGCUUUUACCGUAAAGCGGUGGUGCUUCGACGUCUCGUUUCCUUCCAUAGAUGCGCGCUCGCAUACAAUCGCUUCAUCGUCCGCGUAUACACGGAGCAUGGUUUGAAUGGUGUGCGGGUAUACGUUAACGGUGGCAACCGAAGCACGCCGCUUUUAUGGCUCAAAGUAAACGCAUUUAUAGAGCCGUUUUGCCACCACCGCAUCGGCGUAACCUCGCGGCCGACCAUUUAACGCCGCUUUUAUG